AGGACUAUGGUUUGGAUGAGUCACUGCAACAGGGCAAUAUACAUACCAGGUAUAUCCAUCUUUUGGUCAUCUUCUCAUCACUCUUUUUCCUUGCAAUUGCAAGUAAUUUUGGGCAGCUUCUACUCCAAAAUCCUCAAGAGGUUGUUAUGACAUUGAAGAAUUUGGUUGCUACUUGUCCAAUCCAUAGUUUUAAAGGAAUCAACCACUCCACAAUUUUGUUUGUAACAGAUUUCAGCAUCAAGCUAUAUAUACCCCUUCGAUGAGGUAGGCUUCUUUUCACUGUUAUUUCUUAAUUUUAAUUGGCUGCGUUGUUCUCUAUGUAGGUAUCUUCGCUUCAAAGCAUAACCAGAAUUCAUGAAACAGAUUUACAUAUAAUAAACACAAACUUAUAUCUAUUAAGCUCAAUGUUACUCACUCGUUAAUCCAAACUCAGUACACCUGGACUCAAGUGCUAUUUCUUUAUUUAUCUACUAAAUAAUGGGACACCUUUUAUUUCUCUUUCGCUUCUUAUAUUUGCUGCUGAUGUGCUUAUUUUUACUCAAUCAACUCUUUUAGUUGAAGCUUGGUGCUCCCCGAACCCUCUCUCAUCUUAAAAAUUAUUUUCAUCCGAUUAUAUUUUUAAAUAGAUUAAGUUUUUUAUUUUGAAGAUUCUUUAUUUUUUUUUCUUUUUCUUAUGAAUUUGUUGCAUGGAGUUAGGUGAGAAAAAUGAUUUUAACUUAGUUAGAUUUAUAUUAAAUUGUUUUUAUUAUGUUUGAAUACUUUGCUUUAGAUCUCUAGAUUUUGAAUGAUUAUCUUAAUUAAGUUGAGAUUUUUAAAAAAAAAUAUAUAAUAAAUUAUUAUAGGUAAGAGAAGUUAUUAUUUAUGAUUUUGAUAGUGUCUUAGGUAGAUGAUCUAAAUAUGAAGGUGACGCGAUCACAUUAUUUUAAGUCUUAUGCAGGUUUAUGUGUUUUUUAAAUAUAUGUUAAAUGUUUGAGUUUGAGAUAAAUCUUAAUUGAGAAAAUAUUUUUAUAGUUUGAAGGAAUGAAAUUUGUUGUGUGCCAAUUUUGUGUUAGAAUACAAGAUUGGGAGAAAAUUUGAUCAAGCUAAAGAAAAUUCUUUUUGUUUUCUUUCUUCUUAUCUCUUUAAUAGAUUGAAUAUAAAUGAAAAUAAAAUAUUAAUUUGUUUAUUUAAUUGAUUUGUGGUUUUAUUUAAAUGGGUUAUGUUAUUAUACGAAAAUUGUUGUUAUGAAUGAUACAAACUAUAUGAAUUUGGACUCACAAUUAUGGGAUGACACGUGAACCAUUAAUUGAGUUGUGGUAUUAAGUAAAGACACGUGUUAUAACAUGGAUUUCCUUGUUUUCCUGAUAGUCUAAAAUAUUAUGCAUGAGAAGUUGGGGGAGUUAUAAUGCGUGAUAGUCUAAAAUAUUAUGCGUAAGUUAUAAUGAACUUACCUUAAUCAAUUACUCUUAAGUUCAAUUAUUAAUCUAAGUUUUGGCUUGAAUUAUAUGUUAUUGUCUAGUGAGACACAAAUAUUUUGAAAAUCACUAGUUGAUAUUUCAUUUGUUGAAUAUGUUAUAUAUAUAUGAUCUUUACUAUUUGUGUGUGUUGGUGUUUAUCAAAUUGAAUUGUUUUUGGAUUUCUAAUGAAAAUAUUUCCUUUUAUAUACUUUUCUUACUUAAAAAUUUGAAUAACUUACCCUUUAUGUAUAGUUCGCAUUAUGAUCUGUGAUGACUAUAUUAUCUAAAUAUAUACGUAUACAUACAUGUACAAGAACAAUAUUUAGAAGAGAUUGAAGUUUUAUUUGUGACUCUCACUAGCGCAAAAAUGCUAAUCAAGUGCGGUUAUUUUACAUUUACAAAUGCGGCUAUAGAGCCGCAUUUGAUCAACACGCAUUCGUAAAUAAGAGAGGUACAAAUGCGGCUCUAUAGCCGCAUUUGUAAAUACUAUUUAUAAGUACGGCUAUUUCAAAUAGCCGCAUUUGUAUAUUCGUCUGAAUGAGGGGUAAGGGUUUAGGGGUUUAGGGUUUACAAAUGCGGCUAUUACCAUAGCCACAUUUGUAAAUCAUGUUUUUGAUUUACAAAUGCGGCUUUGGUAAAUAACCGCACUUGUAAAUAGUGUUUUUUUUAGUGCAAUCUGUUUUGUCCCUAAACCAUAUAAAUUAACAUGCAUAUUGAUCAAAAGGUACCCAACCAGACAAAUACAUAAAUAUAGAGAUAAAUUCAGAGAAUCAAAAUGUACAUUACAAACAAGUAAUCAAAUUACAUAUAAAACCUAAACUAUUGAUCAGCUAUGCUAGAGUUAUAAAAAUUUACGAAAUAUGUGGACCAAGAAUGUCUCACAUAUGACAUGGCUUCCAAAUUCAUUGGUAUUUCUUCUGUGAAUAACUGCAUUGCAAAAUAUAGUUGACAUAAAUUAGUUUUUAGAUACAUAUAUGUUCAAGAAUUAUAAAAAUGAUUUAACAUAUCAUGUUACCUCUUUCCAACCAGUUUUAACACCUAGUCUUAUAAUGGUAAUCAUCCAUUGCAUAAUGUAAUAGCCACAGUCAUAGCUUCCUGGUUGUUUAUUACACUAUAAUUCAAUAAAAAGUAAAAGUUAGUAUAUUGAUAAACAAUGAUAAGAGAAAGAAAAAAAUUAUAAACCUUUAUUCUUAUCCAGUUCAAAUUAUUUGAAUUGGAUCGACCUUUUAGGAUGUUAUAUCCACGCCAUGAACUGGUUAAUACAAAAAACCUCGUUAGUAGAUGGUUAAUUAGUAAAAUACAAAGUUAAGUUUAUAGUGUACUUACGUAUCAAUGAUAUCCUUAAAUUUUGUGGGUAUCUUCUUGUGUAGGGAACAUAACCACACAACAGUCUUAUCAACAAUUGAUAAGACAAGUAACUGCCAAUGAUGCCUAUAUCAUUCAUGAAAAUAGUUUGUAAAUAUUUAAAACAUGAAAUAGUAAUAAUUGAUGACAUAUAAUUCAACUUACUCAUUAAUAUAAAAGCAUAAAUAAAUUUCUUUUCCCUCUUUUUCCAGGGUGUUAGUGAUGUAUGUUUGAGUCUCAUAUGACCUUGGUCCAACAGGAUUAGUAUAUGCAGGAUCUAAGAAUCCAAACACAUUUUCCUUCCCCUCAGUGAGACAAACUCCAUGCAAAAACCUACAAGUUAUUAGUUAAAGCAUAAGCAAUAAUAAUUUAACAUAAAGUAAAUUGAAUAAUAGGUAAAGAUACUUACAUCAUAAAAAAUUAAAUUAUAUUUAUAUUGAGCGCCUGAUUCCCAUAUACAAAUUCUAAUAAAUCUGUGUUGUACAUCAUUAGUGGCAGUUCAGUGUUUAUUUGAAAAAACGUAUCAUCCCACGGAACUACAAAAGGUUCAUUACCAAUCUGACUAGCAAUGAGACCUAAGGAAACUAUAGGAUCGUCAACUGGAACCUCACGCUUCUUCUCCGGACUUGGUUUCCGAAAAGGUUUCUA
rnacentral:lncRNA from 1 species